rnacentral:rRNA from 1 species
GGUUGCGAUCAUACAAACACUAAUGCAUCGGAUCCCAUCAGAACUCUGAAGUUAAGCGUGCUUGCACGAGAUUAGUACUUGGAUUGGUGACCUCUUGGGAAGUACUUGUGUUGCACCCC